rnacentral:rRNA from 1 species
AUGGAGUCGUCUUCGUCGGGCGGCGGUGCCAGCAAGGCGCGGCGGAGCGGCAGCGGCGGCGGCGGCAGCGACCCCUUCGACAUCCCCGGCAAGGGCGCCCCCGUCGAGCGCCUCAAAAAAUGGAGGCAAGCAGCUCUUGUCCUGAAUGCAUCAAGGCGAUUCAGGUACACAUUGGACUUGAAAAAAGAGGCGCAAAAGGAGGAAGUCAUAAGAAAAAUUCGUGCACAAGCUCAUGUUAUCAGGGCCGCAUUCCGUUUCAAAGAAGCAGCUCGAGUCGGUACGACUACAAAGGAUGCACCAGAAGCUCAUGCCGAUGGUGCUCUUGGCUUUGGAAUUAAAGAAGACCAGCUUACAGCACUGACCAGAGAUCAUAACUACUCUGCUCUACAGCAGUAUGAAGGGAUUUCAGGGCUAGCAAAUAUGCUAAAGACAGAUAUUGACAAGGGGAUCAGUGGAGAGGAGUCCGAUAUUGAUGCGAGAAAGAAUGCAUUCGGGGCGAACACAUACCCUCGCAAGAAAGGAAGAAGCUUUUUGGCCUUUGUGUGGGAUGCUUGUAAAGAUUUGACACUCAUCAUCCUCAUGGUCGCCGCUGCGGUUUCAUUGGCCUUGGGCAUAUAUACAGAGGGGAUAAAAGAAGGGUGGUAUGAUGGGGCCAGCAUUGGUUUUGCUGUACUCCUUGUUAUUUUUGUUACAGCUACCAGUGACUACAAGCAAUCGUUGCAGUUCCAAAACUUGAAUGAGGAGAAACAGAACAUUCAAUUGGAGGUUGUGAGAGGUGGAAGGCGAAUCAAGGUAUCAAUUUUUGAUUUGGUUGUUGGAGAUGUGGUGCCCCUCAAGAUUGGUGACCAGGUACCUGCUGAUGGAGUCCUUAUUAGUGGUCACUCCUUCUCCAUAGAUGAAUCGAGCAUGACUGGCGAAAGCAAAAUAGUAAACAAAGACCAGAAGUCACCGUUUAUGAUGUCCGGUUGCAAAGUCGCCGACGGCUAUGGUACAAUGCUGGUGACCGCUGUUGGUAUUAACACUGAAUGGGGUCUGCUGAUGGCAAGCAUAUCUGAAGACUCUGGUGAAGAAACACCACUACAGGUUCGCUUGAAUGGUGUUGCUACCUUCAUUGGAAUAAUUGGACUUUCUGUUGCUGUUGCUGUUCUUGUUGUCCUCUUGGCCAGGUAUUUCACUGGGCAUACGUACAAUCCGGAUGGCUCUCCGCAAUAUGUGAAAGGAAAGAUGGGUGUCGGUGAGACAAUACGUGGAGUAGUUAAAAUCUUCACAGUGGCGGUCACAAUUGUGGUUGUGGCUGUUCCCGAAGGACUACCGUUGGCUGUCACAUUGACGCUCGCCUUUUCGAUGCGCAAAAUGAUGAGGGAUAAAGCUCUGGUCAGGAGACUUUCUGCAUGCGAGACAAUGGGUUCUGCAACAACAAUUUGCAGUGACAAGACUGGAACAUUAACUCUAAAUCAGAUGACUGUUGUUGAGGCAUACUUUGGUGGUGAGAAGAUGGAUCCUCCAGAUAACACUCAGAAGCUAUCUGCUGCUGUAUCAACAAUGAUUAUUGAAGGAAUUGCUCAGAAUACAUCUGGAAGCAUAUUUGAGCCGGAGGGUGGUCAAGCUCCAGAGGUGACUGGAUCCCCGACUGAAAAGGCUAUACUGUCUUGGGGGUUGCAGCUUGGUAUGAAAUUCAGUGAAACAAGAUCGAAAUCCUCCAUUCUUCAAGUCUUCCCAUUCAAUUCAGAGAAAAAGCGAGGCGGAGUUGCAGUGCAAGUGGGUGACUCUGAGGUUCAUGUAUACUGGAAAGGAGCUGCUGAACUUAUUUUGGAGUCAUGCACUAGUUGGAUUGACAAGGAUGGCUCAAAGCAAUCAAUGACUCCUGAGAAAGUUGGUGAGUUCAAGAAAUUCAUUGAAGACAUGGCUGUUGCUAGCCUUCGCUGCGUCGCCUUUGCUUACAGACCUUGUGAGAUGAGUGAUGUUCCAAAGGAGGACCAGAGGGCUGACUGGGUAUUACCUGAGGAUAACUUGAUUAUGCUUGGCAUUGUAGGAAUAAAGGAUCCCUGCCGCCCAGGAGUUCAAGAUUCUAUUCGCUUGUGUGCUGCAGCUGGCAUUAAGGUCCGCAUGGUCACCGGGGAUAACCUUCAAACCGCCAGAGCGAUUGCCUUGGAAUGUGGUAUUCUUACUGAUCCUAACGUAUCAGAGCCAACCAUCAUUGAAGGGAAGACCUUCCGGGAGUUGUCAGAUUUGGAAAGGGAGGAAGUCGCCGACAAAAUCUCUGUUAUGGGGAGGUCUUCACCGAACGAUAAGCUUCUACUUGUUAAGGCACUCAGAAACAGAGGUCAUGUUGUCGCUGUAACUGGUGAUGGCACAAACGAUGCCCCAGCACUGCAUGAGGCCGACAUUGGUCUCUCAAUGGGCAUCCAGGGAACUGAAGUUGCCAAGGAGAGUUCUGAUAUUAUUAUCUUGGAUGACAAUUUUGCGACACUCGUGAGGGUUGUCAGAUGGGGACGUUCAGUUUAUGCAAACAUCCAGAAAUUCAUUCAGUUCCAGCUGACUGUCAACGUUGCAGCCUUGAUAAUUAAUGUAGUUUCUGCUGUCAGUUCUGGUGACGUGCCACUGAAUGCUGUCCAGUUGCUCUGGGUUAAUCUAAUCAUGGACACACUGGGAGCGCUUGCAUUGGCGACUGAGCCACCAAACAACCAUCUUAUGCAGAGACCACCAGUUGGGCGGAGGGAGCCUUUGAUAACAAAUAUCAUGUGGAGAAACUUGCUCAUAAUGGCUUUCUAUCAAGUUGCAAUCCUCCUUACUCUCACCUUCAAGGGCCUGACCCUUCUACGGUUGGAACAUGACAACCCAGCACAUGCUGAAAUUCUGAAAAAUACCUUCAUAUUCAACACAUUUGUUCUCUGUCAAGUGUUCAGUGAGUUCAACGCUCGGAAACCAGAUGAGCUGAAUAUUUUCAAGGGUAUUGCAGGGAACAAACUCUUCAUUGCCAUUAUAGCCAUAACGGUUGUUCUCCAGGUGCUUAUCAUCGAGUUCCUUGGCAAGUUCACGACAACAGUCAGGUUGAGCUGGCAGCUGUGGUUGGUGUCCAUAGGUCUUGCUUUUGUCAGCUGGCCGUUGGCACUGGUAGGAAAGCUUAUCCCUGUUCCAGACCGUCCGUUCUUAGACAUGUUCACUUGCUGCUGCCCAGGGAAGAAAGAGGCUGAUGAUGGGAAGGAAGACAGUGGUGUGAAGAACAUCGAGGUGGUGUGA